rnacentral:rRNA from 1 species
AUUGAACGCUGGCGGCAGGCCUAACACAUGCAAGUCGAACGAGUGGCGGACGGGUGAGUAAUGUCUGGGAAACUGCCUGAUGGAGGGGGAUAACUACUGGAAACGGUAGCUAAUACCGCAUACCAUCGGAUGUGCCCAGAUGGGAUUAGCUAGUAGGUGGGGUAAAGGCUCACCUAGGCGACGAUCCCUAGCUGGUCUGAGAGGAUGACCGGGCACACUGGAAGUGAGACACGUGCCAGACUCGUUCGUGAGACAGCAGUGGUGAAUAUUGCACACUGGGCGCAAGUCUGAUGCAGCCAUGCCGCGUGUAUGAAGAAGGCCUUCGGGUUGUAAAGUACUUUCAGCGGGGAGGCGUGACCGGCAGGAGAAGCACCGGCUAACUCCGUGCCAGCAGCCGCGGUAAUUC